GGAUUAGAAACCCGGGUAGUCCACGCUGUAAACGAUGUCGAUUUGGAGGUUGUGCUUUAGGCAUGGCUUCCGAAGCUAACGCGAUAAAUCGACCGCCUGGGGAGUACGGCCGCAAGGUUAAAACUCAAAUGAAUUGACGGGGGCCCGCACAAGCGGUGGAGCAUGUGGUUUAAUUCGAUGCAACGCGAAGAACCUUACCUACUCUUGACAUCCAGAGAAGACUUCAGAGAUGAGGUUGUGCCUUCGGGAGCUCUGAGACAGGUGCUGCAUGGCUGUCGUCAGCUCGUGUUGUGAAAUGUUGGGUUAAGUCCCGCAACGAGCGCAACCCUUAUCCUUUGUUGCCAGCGCGUAGAGGCGGGAACUCAAGGGAGACUGCCGGUGAUAAACCGGAGGA
rnacentral:rRNA from 1 species